GAGGUGUUCAGGCGAUCCAAAAAAAGGAGUCUUCAUCAGUCAUUUAGGACCUUCUAUGUGAGCUAGCACUCCUGAAAAGGACGAUUUGCUUGGGGCUUCGAGUGGAGUACUUGUAGAGGUCGGUUGUGCUGUGCGACUGCUCGACAUUAGAAAGAACUUCAUACUAAAGAAAAGUGUGGCAGUUUUGUACAUGCAUUUUUAAAAUUUUACAGUAGAAUAUACAUAGAUU
rnacentral:lncRNA from 1 species